CACGUAGGGGGCGAGCGUUGUCCGGAUUUAUUGGGCGUAAAGAGCUCGUAGGUGGUUCAGUAAGUCGAGUGUGAAACCUCCAGGCUCAACCUGGAGACGCCACCCGAUACUGCUGUGACUAGAGUCCAGUAGGGGAGCACGGAAUUCCUGGUGUAGCGGUGAAAUGCGCAGAUAUCAGGAGGAACACCAGUGGCGAAGGCGGUGCUCUGGGCUGGAACUGACACUGAGGAGCGAAAGCGUGGGGAGCGAACAGG
rnacentral:rRNA from 1 species